AUCUGGGUUAUUAGGGGAUGUCACCAGUUCGAUGAAUUGCCCUUCUUUUGAGAAACUAAGGGCGUCCCCUUCCCAUCUGUAGAGUCCAGACUUGAGGGAUUCAGUUAUUGCCGGAUAAGACUGGAACAAGUUCAAACACUGUUAGUCCGAAGACACAUGGAGGCAAAAAUCUACGAUCUUAUUGACGCGAAGAGACACUUACAGAAUAGUAUGGAGCUGCAGAUACAACA
rnacentral:misc_RNA from 1 species